rnacentral:rRNA from 1 species
AUUGAACGCUGGCGGCAGGCCUAACACAUGCAAGUCGAACGAGUGGCGGACGGGUGAGUAAUGUCUGGGAAACUGCCUGAUGGAGGGGGAUAACUACUGGAAACGGUAGCUAAUACCGCAUACCAUCAGAUGUGCCCAGAUGGGAUUCGCUAGUUGGUGGGGUAACGGCUCACCAGGGCGACGAUCCCUAGCUGGUCUGAGAGGAUGACCAGCCACACGGGAACUGAGAAACGGUCCAGAUUCUUAUGGGAGUCAGCAGUGGGGAAUAUUGCACAAUGGGCGUAAGUCUGAUGCAGCGAUGCCGCGUGUGUGAAGAAGGCCUUCGGGUUGUAAAGUACUUUCAGCGAGGAGGCGUUACCCGCAGAAGAAGCACCGGCUAACUCCGUGCCAGCAGCCGCGGUAAGUC